GAGGAGACAGAAAAUAAGGUCUCUUACCUAACCAAGUCCCUCAUUCAGUGGCUGUCAUUAAACAAACUCAACCAAUUCCUAGAUCUCUAUUUUUACCUCUAAAAUGGGGAUUGGGAGUGACUGUCCUACCCUCCUCUCUUUAAUGCUGCAAGGGUAAAAAGAGACAAGGCAGGCAAGUGGCCUAUGGGGAGAAUGAUAAGGAUGACCAGUGCAAGGGAGGUAUGAAAUCUGCUCCUUUGCUGGUUAAAUCCCAGCAGCUGAAGACAUGCUACCAAAUGCCUGACCUACCAUUAGCUGUUCCCAGGGACCUGGGGGUGGAGGAACCCAGGAUCCAUCAGGCUUACCAGUUCUGUUCCCAUUCUCACAGGACUCAGCUGAGAAGAAGAUGUAAUCUACUGUCAUUCCAAGACCCAAUGGCAUUGUAGUGACCUCUGGGCGGCCACGCUGGGGCAGGAAGUGGGUAUAUACUGACGUCAGGUGGAGGCAGUGCUGGAUGGUACCUACAGUCCUACAGGGAUGAAGGGGGAAACAUUAGUUAACAAAAAUUACUAAAUUUUCCCUAGAUCACUUUUUCUAUGGGUUUUAUGAAGAUUUUUUAAAAGGAUGAUCUCAGAUGACUCAAUCUCAGCCAAUUCCUCCCCAUGCUAAGAAGGGGCUGGCAGUCUUAGCUAAAAUUAGCCUAGAAACACACAUUUGUACUGAGACUCCCUAACACUCCUAAUCCCCCACUAUCUGCUUGUUACCUGGUAAAGUAUCCCCAAUGUACCCCUGUCUGGGGCCCAGGCCUCUUCUGUGAGGCUUUACCCUCUGAGGAAAGAGUACAUAGCCUUUUCACCUGCAGUAACAUGGGUGGGUCACCUCUGGCUUCUGCAUACCUACAUAACCCUCUAUAAGUUUAGCAGAUAUUAGGGGAAAAAGAGCUUAUCAAAAAGUGCUCCCCCAAGUCAACCUCAGGACAACCAAUGGGAAUCUCUCUCUUACACCUAGGCAAGGGCUGGAUUGAAAACAGAAGAGAACUGGAGAAGGUUACCUGGAGAAGGCAGGCUCAAGCUCCGAUGCAUCUUCCUCAAGGACAGACUCAGCCCAACCCGCAGGUCGCUCUGCAGAGGACCAGAGAGAAAAACAUUUUCUCAUCCACAGACAGUGAAGCAGGAUCAGAACCUUUCACCCUAAAAUCCCUCUCAGAUCCUUGACUGGAUUGCUUCAGAAGGAUCCAGAAGGAGAAAGGGAGAAACAGUGAGGAGGAGAAGAUGACCAUAAACCAAAGUCAAGAACCUCAGAAAGCAGAUACACGGAUAUGAUGAUCCUAAAUUUCAUACGGGAAUGCAAGAGACCCAGAAGAGACAAAAAUCAUCUUAAAAACAACAAAGUCAGAGGACUUACUCGUCCUUAUUUCAAAAGUACAGUAAUCUAUCUUAUCCAUGGGGGAUACAUACCGAGUCCCCCAGCGGAUGCCUGAAACAAUGGAUACUACCAAAUCCUAAAUAUACUGUUUUUUUCCUAAACAUACCU
rnacentral:lncRNA from 1 species